rnacentral:misc_RNA from 1 species
CUGACAUACGAGAGUGCAUCUGAGUUACUUUAUUUGAACCUCAAAGAGGAGGCUGAUUUAAGAAUUCUUUCUGAGGCUGCAGCUUGCCGGUUACAAUGGCGUUGCCAACAGUUGACACAGCCACAUUGGAAACUCGCGUCAAGGUGGCCAAUCCAGAAGAUCCAGAGCCUUCAAUUAAUCUUUAUGUUGAAAACCAAGCUGACCCUGCAAUGCGACUUGUCUCUGAGAUGAUGAUACUCUGUGGGGAAGUCAUGGCCACCUAUGGCUCUUGCCAGAACAUUCCUUUACCCUAUAGAGGACAACCCCAAUCAAAUAUUGAUGUAUCUGCAUUUGCACACCUCCCUGAAGGGCCUGUUAGAAGUGCUGCAAUUGUCAGAAUAAUGCGUGCUGCUGAAUUUGAUUUCAGGAAACCUAUACGGCAUGGGAUUUUGGGAGUUCCUGGUUAUGUUCAGUUUACUUCUCCCA